rnacentral:rRNA from 1 species
GACGAACGCUGGCGGCGUGGAUUAGGCAUGCAAGUCGAACGGUAUCAUCCUUUCGGGGGUGAGAGAGUGGCGAACUGGUGAGUAACACGUAGGUUAUCUACCCUCAAGACGGGGACAACCCAGGGAAACUUGGGCUAAUACCGGAUGUGAGCAACUUUUAGUUGUUUGAAAGGUGGCGUAAGCUGUCGCUUGGGGAUGAGCCUGCGUCCUAUUAGUUAGUUGGUGAGGUAACGGCUCACCUAGGCAAUGAUAGGUAGGCGGCCUUAACGGGUGGUCGCCCACACUGGGAUUGAGAUACGGCCCAGACUCCUACGGGAGGCAGCAGUCGAGAAUAGUCUACAAUGGUCGGAAGACUGAUAGUGCGACGCCGCGUGAACGAUGAAUCCCUUCGGGUGUAAAGUCUUUUAUAUGUGAGCAGUGCUUCUUAUAUUAACAGUAUGGGGAGAGAGAUAUUAGCAUAUGAAUAAGCAACGGCUAACUCCGUGCCAGCAGCCGCGUAAACUCG